rnacentral:rRNA from 1 species
CGGCGGACGGGUGAGUAAUGCCUAGGAAUCUGCCUGGUAGUGGGGGACAACGUUUCGAAAGGAACGCUAAUACCGCAUACGUCCUACGGAGAAAGCAGGGGACCUUCGGGCCUUGCGCUAUCAGAUGAGCCUAGGUCGGAUUAGCUAGUUGGUGAGGUAAUGGCUCACCAAGGCGACGAUCCGUAACUGGUCUGAGAGGAUGAUCAGUCACACUGGAACUGAGACACGGUCCAGACUCCUACGGGAGGCAGCAGCC